GAUGAACGCUGGCGGCGUGCCUAAUACAUGCAAGUCGAGCGAACAGACGAGGAGCUUGCUCCUCUGACGUUAGCGGCGGACGGGUGAGUAACACGUGGAUAACCUACCUAUAAGACUGGGAUAACUUCGGGAAACCGGAGCUAAUACCGGAUAAUAUAUUGAACCGCAUGGUUCAAUAGUGAAAGACGGUUUUGCUGUCACUUAUAGUUGGAUCCGCGCCGCAUUAGCUAGUUGGUAAGGUAACGGCUUACCAAGGCAACGAUGCGUAGCCGACCUGAGAGGGGGAUCGGCCACACGGGAACUGAGACACGGUCCAGACUCCUACGGGAGGCAGCAGUAGGGAAUCUUCCGCAAUGGGCGAAAGCCUGACGGGGCAACGCCGCGUGAGUGAUGAAGGUCUGCGGAUCGUAAAACUCUGUUAUUAGGGAAGAACAAAUGUGUAAGUAACGAUGCACGUCUGGACGGUACCUAAUCAGAAAGCCACGGCGAACUACGU
rnacentral:rRNA from 1 species